rnacentral:rRNA from 1 species
UGCCCUAGUAACGGCGAGUGAAGCGGCAACAGCUCAAAUUUGAAAUCUGGCCUUCGGGUCCGAGUUGUAAUUUGUAGAGGAUGCUUUUGGUGCAGUGCCUUCCGAGUUCCUUGGAACAGGACGCCUUAGAGGGUGAGAGCCCCGUACGGUUGGACACUAAGCCUCUGUAAAGCUCCUUCGACGAGUCGAGUAGUUUGGGAAUGCUGCUCUAAAUGGGAGGUAAAUUUCUUCUAAAGCUAAAUACCGGCCAGAGACCGAUAGCGCACAAGUAGAGUGAUCGAAAGAUGAAAAGUACUUUGAAAAGAGGGUUAAAUAGCACGUGAAAUUGUUGAAAGGGAAGCGUUUAUGACCAGACCUUUGCCUGGCGGAUCAUCCGGUGUUCUUCACCGGUGCACUUCGCCUGGCUUAGGCCAGCAUCGAUUUCUGUAGGGGGAUAAAGGCCAUGGGAACGUAGCUCUCUUCGGGGAGUGUUAUAGCCCUAGGUGUAAUACCUUUACGGGGAUCGAGGUUCGCGCUUCUGCAAGGAUGCUGGCGUAAUGGUCAUCAACGACCCGUCUUGAAACACGGACCAAGGAGUCGAACAUUUAUGCGAGUGUUUGGGUGUUAAACCCUCACGCGGAAUGAAAGUGAACGGAGGUGAGAGCCCUUUUUUGGGUGCAUCAUCGACCGAUCCUGAUGUAUUCGGAUGGAUUUGAGUAAGAGCAUAACUGUUCGGACCCGAAAGAUGGUGAACUAUGCGUGGNUAGGGUGAAGCCAGAGGAAACUCUGGNGGANCUCGCAGCGGGNNCUGACGUGCAAAUCGAUCGUCAAAUCUGCGCAU